rnacentral:rRNA from 1 species
AUUGAACGCUGGCGGCAGGCUUAACACAUGCAAGUCGAGCGGAGAGAGGUAGCUUGCUACUGAUCUUAGCGGCGGACGGGUGAAUAAUGCUUAGGAAUCUGCCUAUUAGUGGGGGACAACAUUUCGAAAGGAAUGCUAAUACCGCAUACGUCCUACGGGAGAAAGCAGGGGAUCUUCGGACCUUGCGCUAAUAGAUGAGCCUAAGUCGGAUUAGCUAGUUGGUGGGGUAAAGGCCUACCAAGGCGACGAUCUGUAGCGGGUCUGAGAGGAUGAUCCGCCACACAGGGACUGAGACACGGACCAGACUCCUACGGGAGGCAGCAGUUGGGAAUAUUGGACAAGGGGCGGAAGCCUGAUCCAGCCAUUCCGCGUGUGUGAAGAAGGCCUUAUGGUUGUAAAGCACUUUAAGCGAGGAGGAGGCUACUCUAGUUAAUACCUAGGGAUAGUGGACGUUACUCGCAGAAUAAGCACCGGCUAACUCUGUGCCAGCCGCCGCCGUAA